rnacentral:rRNA from 1 species
UAUUGGACAAUGGGCGAAAGCCUGAUCCAGCAAUGCCGCGUGAGUGAUGAAGGCCUUAGGGUUGUAAAGCUCUUUUACCCGGGAUGAUAAUGACAGUACCGGGAGAAUAAGCUCCGGCUAACUCCGUGCCAGCAGCCGCGGUAAUACGGAGGGAGCUAGCGUUGUUCGGAAUUACUGGGCGUAAAGCGCACGUAGGCGGCUUUGUAAGUUAGAGGUAAAGCCUGAGCUCAACUCCAGACUGCCUUAAGCUGCAUCGCUUAAUCCAGAAAGGUAGUGAAUUCCAGUGAAGGUAAAUUCGAGUUUCGAAGACACCAGUGCGAGCGCUACUGGCUGGUUUGCGUGCGUGAAGCG